GGCUAUCUACAUGCACUCUUAAUUGCUCCACAUUAAAUAUAUUAGCUUUAUUCACUCCCCCAACCACCUUAUGACAAACCAAGCCUUGCUCAUCUUUAGAAUUUGCUCCUCCUCCAUUACAACUAUAAAAAAGAGUUGCAUGCGCCUCACUCCUACGUGGGUUCACGUUUGGGUGUUACUCAUUAAUUAAUAUAGCUUCAUUCACUCCCCCAACCACCUUAUGACGCACCGUGCCAUGCUUAUCUUGGAGAUUCUCUACUCCACUAAUAUUGCCAUUAAUGUGAGUUGCAUGCUUCUCACUUCUACAUGGAAUCACGUUUGUGUGUUCCUCAUUUAUUAUAUUAGCUUCAUUUACUCCACCAAUAUUGCCAUUAAUGUAAGCUGCAUACUUCUCACUCCUACAUGGAACCAAUUUGAAUGCUCCUCAUUUAUUAAAUCAGCUUCAUAUACUCCCCCAACAACCAUAUGCAUUUCAUUGAAUGCUCCACCAAAAUUGCCAUAAAUGUGAGUAGCAUGCACCUCUCUCCUAAGUGAAUUCAUGUUUGGGAACUCCACAUUAAAAACAUUUAUCUUGUUCUCUAACCCAACCACUUCUUGGCACGCAAUUCCUUGCUCUUUGUGAACCUGCACUUCACCAACCUUAACAUGGCUAGCUACAUGCAGAAUACUACACCUUAAAUCCAUGUGUAAUUGUUUUGCUUUAAGCUUAGAACCGUUACUCUCCCCCCCAACCAUCUCAUGGUGAGCCCUACCAUUCUCCUCUUGAACAUUCUCUGUUAUCUCUUUAACACCAUUAAUGCAAGCCGCAUUCUUCACUCCCAUACAUUUAAUCACACCCCCAACUACCUUUGAAGAGUCUGAAGACGUUUUUCCGCACGACGCAAAGCUCACCUCACCUUGUUUCUGUAAUAAUUUACCAUCCAAGAUUCCCCCCCCCUACACACAAAGUAGCAUUUACUACUGACUUAAAGGAUCAUUUUUUGUUGGGCCACCCCAAGGAUAGGUUCUACCUACACCGCCUUACACUGAACCGUCAUCUCUUCGCCUUUCCUUCUUCCGUAUUCUUCAUCGGAGUAAGAAACCACCGAGGCCAAACGCUCCCUUCCACCAACAUCUUCCGAGUUGGCGACAGACUCCAAUACUGACUCGUCUCCCCACUUACUGAAGAAGCUUCUUAGCUUAACAUCCGACAUACUCAUCUCUUAUUGAAAAGAAACCCAACAAGAGAAGCCAUUAAUACUCACCUCCUUCUUCUCGCAAGGCGAAAUACCUACCAGAAUACUGAUCCGUAACCGAACGUACUCUAGUACUUCCCUAGCCUUAGUCGCUUGGUCCACCUCUACCGCCUUCCCGACUAGUGCCCCAACACGUUCAAAACAGUGCCAACUCCAUAGAUGUAAAUGGAUACCUCUACACUUUACCCAUGCAUACCUCUCAUUUACUGUAAAGGAAUCGUCCCAAGGCACAAUCGAACCGAACAGACCAGUGAACCGGUCCUUACCUUCUUCUAAGAGUUUUUCAAUAAGCCCUUCCUUGUCACAAGACAAUAACACAAACUCUUCCCCUAGGUACCUGAUGAGCAUAUAUUUAUUCACACUCAUUAGCCUUAUUCAUAGGUUAUUGGACUAUAAUAAUAAAUAAAUCUAUUGUUUUAAUUAAUAUUCUUAUAAUUGGGUUUAUUUGGGCCUUAACUAUUAUUAUUGUUAAUUUUGUGUUUUUAGAGUAAAUUAUCCGGAGGAAGCAUCUACCUUUGUGAAUGGGCCAAAUAUGCAAAAGUCCAAAUUGCUUCUUAAACCAAAACAGAAAACAAAUUCUGAGGAGAAGAAAGAGAAAAUAAAAUCUACAAUAUCUCAGAAACAGAAUUGGAAGCAAAUGUUCUGCAAAAUACAAGAAUUCUAGAAAGAUAGAAACUUGGAAACGGUUAACAAAAUAUAAACUACAAUAUUCUCUCAAGAUCCUUGGAGCAGAAAAGCCUAUAAAAGGACACAAGCAUCAAGGAGAAAAGGGAGAGUUUUCAUAGGGUUUUCUUAGUUUCUUUUCUUCUUUGUAAUUCUUUUGUUUUCCCUCCGCAUGGAAGGCUAAACCUUUUUGGUUGGUUCUUUUGUAAUUCCCCAUUGAGUUCUGAGGUUUUGUUCCAAUAAAAGUUUCGAUUUUUAAUUCUCUA
rnacentral:lncRNA from 1 species